AUGGAGUGUAAAGAACUUCAUGUUAAAAUCAUCUUCAGCAUUUUUAUGGCAGUUUGGGAUGUGGGAGAAAAAGAUCAGCUGAGGUCCACAGAUGUGAUCCAGGUUGCACUAUCAGGUCCAAUUUACCCGGGUGAUUCAGAGACACUGGAGUGUGUGGUGCUGGCUAACAGCACAACUGAAGAUCUCAGAGUGUUCUGGUUCAGACCCGCUUCAGGAGGUUCCCAUCCAGGGGUCAUUUACACCAACAAGAGCUGGACUGGGCCGUGUGAUGAUCACUGUGUCUGCAGUCUCCCAAAGAAGGACGUCAACAUCUCUGAUGCUGGAACCUACUACUGUGGCAUAGCGACAAGUGGACAAAUACUGUUUGGCAAUGGAACAUCAAUUGUGAUUGCUGAUCCAGUAGACACUGUGCUGGUUGGUUUGGUUGUGGCUUUGGGUUGCUGUGUCGCAUUGAUGCUUUUUCUGGUUUGGUUGAAUUGCCAGAGGAGAGUUACAUGUGACACCUGUAAGAAGAGUUAA